UAGGUUCAGGUGAGUGUGAGUGGAGAAUUAUGAUAGAAAAACUAUCAGAGCCUUGGUUUAUAAUCACCUGAGAUUGUAACAGGAAUGAUAUUGUAAUCUAAGGUUUAAGACCACUAGGGACUGUAGCCUUAGUGGCAUUAGAGUUUGACGUUUAAGAUCAUUAGAGAUUGUGACAGAAAAAUAUCAUAGCUUAAGGUUAUGAUCAUUUGGGACGUGACAAUUAAAUUCGGUGCUUAGGGUGUAAGAUCACUGGGCAUAGUGAUAAAAUGUAUGCAUCGGGUUUGGUUUUCGAUGAGUGUGGAAGGAAAGUAUAAAUUGUCUUUGAUCAUGAUAAAAAAAAAAGAGGUUUGACCUAAGAUAACUGUACGAAGGUCAACAAUGCCAUAUCGGUUAUAUUCAGAUAUUAUUUAAAUGACCUGGAAGUUCAAACUUGAUAUGGGUUAUGAUGUGAUCGUACUUUUGGUUUUGCUACUAAUUAUUAGAGUGGGAUUUGUACGUAGAUCUUCCAUAGUAUUGGAGUGAGCUAAGAAGAUUUCAUAAUAUUGAAAGGAAUGUUCGUCGAAGUUGAAUAUGUAUGUGAAUCUGUAUGUGGUAUUGGCAU
rnacentral:lncRNA from 1 species